rnacentral:rRNA from 1 species
GAUGAACGCUAGCGACAGGCCUAACACAUGCAAGUGAGGGGUAACAUUAUUAAAGCUUGCUUUAAUAGAUGACGACCGGCGCACGGGUGCGUAACGCGUAUGCAACCUACCCAUUACAGGAGGAUAGCCCAGAGAAAUUUGGAUUAAUACUCCAUAGUAUUUACUGAAAGCAUUUUUAGUAUUUUAAAAGAUUCGUCUGGUAAUGGAUGGGCAUGCGUAUGAUUAGUUAGUUGGUAGGGUAACGGCCUACCAAGACGACGAUCAUUAGGGGUUCUGAGAGGAUAGUCCCCCACACUGGUACUGAGACACGGACCAGACUCCUACGGGAGGCAGCAGUGAGGAAUAUUGGUCAAUGGGCGAGAGCCUGAACCAGCCAAGUCGCGUGCAGGACGACUGCCCUAUGGGUUGUAAACUGCUUUUAUAUAGGAAUAAUUGUUUUUACGUGUAAGAAUUUGAAUGUACUAUAUGAAUAAGCACCGGCUAACUCCGUGCCAGCAGCCGCGGUAAUACGGAGGGUGCAAGCGUUAUCCGGAUUUAUUGGGUUUAAAGGGUGCGUAGGCGGGUUCAUAAGUCAGUGGUGAAAGUCUGUCGCUUAACGAUAGAAUUGCCAUUGAAACUGUGGAUCUUGAAUACAGUAGAGGUAGGCGGAAUAUAUUGUGUAGCGGUGAAAUGCAUAGAUACGAUAUAGAACACCUAUUGCGAAGGCAGCUUACUAUGCUGUAAUUGACGCUGAUGCACGAAAGCGUGGGGAGCGAACAGG